ACAAAGUGCUGGGAUUACAGGUGUGAGCUAAGGCAAAACAACUUUUUAAAAAAUAGAUUAAAAUGUAUUAUUAGCAUGGAGAACUAGAAACUGAUUUUUGGGGGGUCACCCAGUAGCUACAGAUAUCUACCUUCCCUGCCCCAUAUUUCUACAUUUUUCUUUUCUCUAUAUAAAAGUCUAUACUUUCAAAAAAUUCCAGCAUGUAGUUUUAUUUUCGGUCUCCCCUAAAUAUAUGCAGAUUUGACAGAUCCCUUUGCCAGCCACCCAUGAAAUCAGAUGAGUAAUUUCAAAUUGCAGGGCUGGAAAAAUGACCAGCACAGAAUAAAGACAUGAGCUGGCAGCUACACAAGACAGAUCUCAAAAACGAGGAGCAGUAGCUGAGAGGCUAAGAGAAUCUGUCCUAGCCACAAGCGCUUGGAAAACGGAGGAAGCUGAAUCAGAAAACACAUGGAAGACGGAUCCCAGAGAGGGAGAGGAAACAUGACAGUGAUGAAAAGGAAAACCAGGUCCGUGACUAGGGGCAACCAGACGUUACCAACAGCAGCAUCGGGAGGUUUCUGUUCGACGGAUGAUUCAUUUUUAUCCAAGAAUUAAACAAAGGAACAUCAGAUUUUAUUUUUGAA